CAUGCAGAGGGGCGUAGUUCCAAGGCCGGAGCGGUGCGAAUUCGGUUUUGUGUGCCUUUCCUUAUUUACCUAGGGUUGACACUCUACGGACGGAGUUUGAGCCGAAGCGCUGCUACGAGUGCGAGGAUAGUGAAGUCACUUACUCUUUGCCUGAGCCGCUCGUUUCGCCGCUCAAGUGUGUUUACACGGGCCGAGCGCACGUGGUCUCGAGCCAGGCUGGAAGGUCACCGGUCAGACCCGUGCACCUGGACCGCAUCCACACCCCCUCGAUGCCGCUUCGACUCCAUUAACUUCUUUUUUCCUGUGUUGUGAUUUUUAACCAAACUUUGUUUCGUGAUGAUGCUCAGCCACAAAGGCUACCCGGACUCGAGCUGCAGCAUGGGCUCCAUGCAGCCCAUGAGUGCCAUGAGCAACAGCUACAGCAUGAACAGUGCCACGGCCUCAUCCAUGAGCAUGGCCGGCAUGAACUAUUCACCGCAAAGUUUCGGCACCAACAUGAUGUCGGCCUCUGCCAUGGGCGGCAUGGGCCCCGCUGCCGGCAUGGGCAUGGGCGUCGGUGGCACGGCUGGCACCUGCAUGUCUCCAACCAUGACAGCCAUGACCCCGCUCGGCGGUAUGAACUCUCUGAACCAAAGCAUGAACGGCAUGACCUCUCCGGCCUGCAUGGGCACCAUGGCCGGACUGGGCAGCAUGAACACGCCUCUAGUCGCCGCAGCCGGACGAGACUUCGCGAGCCACGCGGGGGCCGGAGACGGGUCGGCGAGCGCAGCCACAGCAGCCCUCCAGCGGGCCCGGGCCGACAAAACCUACCGCAGAAGCUACUCGCACGCGAAGCCCCCCUACUCCUACAUUUCCCUGAUCACUAUGGCGAUCCAGAACAGUCCGAGCAAGAUGCUGACACUCAGUGAGAUCUACCAAUUCAUAAUGGACCUCUUCCCUUACUACCGACAGAACCAACAACGUUGGCAGAACUCGAUCCGCCACAGUCUCAGUUUCAACGACUGCUUCGUGAAGGUUCCGCGAACGCCGGAUAAACCGGGAAAGGGCAGCUUCUGGACCCUGCACCCGGACUCGGGCAACAUGUUCGAGAACGGCUGUUACUUGCGCCGCCAAAAGAGGUUUAAGUGCGAGAAGAAAGAAGCCGUCCGACAGGCCGCCAAGAACAGCCCGAGGAGCCCGUCCCCGUCCGGCAAAGGGGGCAGCAGCGAGGGCCGGAUGUCCCCGCAUCCGCACCAGCAACCUCCACACCACCUUCAGCAGCAUCACCACGUGCAGAGGGGUACACCAAACAGCAGCCCUCAUGGAAUGGGUCCACAGGGCUACGGAGGCCAUCAGAUGACGCCACAUCCCAGCAAUUCCCACCUCGUCGACGCAUGCAAGGCAGAGGACCCUUCCUGCUGUAGUCCACCCAUCAACGGACAAGGGGGCAUGCACCAUGCGGCCCUCGAACACCAGCUCGCCGCCAUCCAUCCUCGCAAUCUCACAGAAGCUGCCGUUCUGCACUCCGGAAUGCUUGCCGCGGGACAGUUGAAAACAGACCCUCAUUUCAACCCUUCAAAUCACCCGUUUUCCAUCAACAAUAUCAUCGCCAGCGAGAACAAAGCAGACAUGAAACUUUACGACAUGGUCCAGUACGGGGCCUAUGCCCCUCUGUCCCCCGUAGGCCCCGGAGGACAGCAUUCCUUGCCCAAUGAUGCCUCUUCCUACUAUCACUCGUCGUUGUAUUCCGUGCACCAGUCGACGACCUCGGGCAUGUAGGUGAACAGAGAUGAUCGCCCAGGAUGUGAGGCGGACGGAAGAGUACGGACAGUCGGUCCUCCGCAACAACAAUCGUCCACCAGCUUCCGGUUGACUUCUCGUCCUCAUCAUGUCUUUCACGUGCAAAAAUAAUUUGAUACGACACCUCAGCCGCGAUGCUCCUUGUGAAUCGAACGCUGCCCGCAAGAUUAGCAAAACCUAGAAGGUGGCUAGGGGAAUCGGAUGGUCAGACGCAGGGAUCGACCAUGCUCUCUCAGUAUGUGUCCCGCACCAUGGUUUAGCGGCAUCAGGGGACACUUUCAGACGUCCAUUGCUCGAACACUGGAGCCAUGAACUUAUUGCU